CUCACACUGUUGGCCCUUCUGACUCUGUGUGCCACGGGAAGAAGCACUGAAAAUGUCUCAGAAAGCAGCCCUGAGAAAGAACAGCUUGUUAUAGCCAGAGGAAAACUUUUGGCUCCCAGUGUAGUGGGAUAAUCCAUAAAAAGAUGCCAGAGCUCUACAAUUUCCUUAUGGAGCGAUGGGCAUUGUAUCACAACCUGGAGUUCGAUUCAGGAGAGGAUAAAACCCCCGCCUGAUCUUCUACAAUGAGAAGGACGAGGAAGUGAAGGGAAAGACAAUGGAAAGAGCAGCAUGAAUAUUCUCAUCAUCUUCUCCUUUUGAGAAGAUCAACAAAAAACAAAAAUCAACCAACCUGACAAGGGGUG
ensembl:lncRNA